rnacentral:lncRNA from 1 species
CAUAUUUACGAAUAUCAGUAUGUUCAUUGAUUUUUCUACGAACAUAUACAACGAACAUCAAUAUGUUCAUCGGUGUUUCUACGAACAUAUUGACGAACAUCAGUAUGUUCAUUGAUUAUUUUCUACGAACACUUCCUUGACGAUAUGCAGAUCUGCAGAUCCGGCGGCGGCACGGCGCGACGGCCGCCACCACGAGCGUUCACCAUCGCCGUCUUCAUCGGCUUCACCCUGACGACGCCGGGGCAGCACAGCCUCGAGAAUCCCUCCGCCUGGGGAUUGAAGAGAGAUCGAAGGGGGUGUCAAGAUUUACGACUUAGGGUUUCGGGUGGCGGCGGCUGAUAUUGAUCGGUCAAGAGAGGAGAGCGAGGGCGGUGGCCAUAGCACCUGCGGUGGUCGCCGGAGAUCGAAAGAAAAUAGUGCAGAUUUAGGGAUCUAGAGUUGAGGGCGAGCGGCGGUGGUCGUGGCUCCACCUGCGACGGCGGCCAUUACCAAGGAAGGAAGGGACGAUGAUUUUGAGGAGAGAGGGACGGACAUGGGGGAGCGGCGCUGCUGGUCUGGCGCGGCUUCGCCGGAAAAGAGACCUCCAUUGUCAAGUAUAUGAGAGAGAGAGAUAGAGAGAGAGAGAGAAA